rnacentral:lncRNA from 1 species
GUGCGUCCCCCAAGACCCCGAAACGAAAGCAAGGCGAGCAGCCCUCCCAGGCCCUGCUCCCCCAGCGGGGUCACCGUCCGCUCGCGAGGCCGGGGCACAGAGGCGCGCUGAGCCGACCGGCGCGUCCGAGCGGCGCGGCCACAGAUCACCCUCGCGACGCUGCAGCGGCGGGCGCGGGAGGAGGCCGCCACCCCGAGCCCCGCAGCCGGGCUUCCGCGUGCGGGCAGCGCCCCCUGCCCCGUCCGGAGCUCUCCGCCGCAGUGAUGGCGGCGACGGGGGCGGCGCAGCCGAGUCACCUGUGGGGCUUCUCACAACUCCACAGCCCCCUCCCCAAACCCUAGGUCACUCGUCCAGAGGAAGAAAAGAAGCAAUCUCAGCAGAUGCAGGGCCCGGCGCGCCGGUGGUGGAGUUUCCAAAAGCCCUACAGGUGAUGCCACCCCGACGCCCCGCGACGCUGGCCCUGGGUAGUCUCGACCCUCUCCGGCUCCGCAGCUUCCCCCGACCCCGCGGGACGGCCGGGGCUUCGGCGGCGAGACUUGGGAAAGUGUCCCCUGCUCUGCGCACCUCCCUCGCUGCGCGGACCGCGCGCUGGAUGCCAGAGCCACGAAUGUUCAUGGUCCAGAGCCUGGUAUCAAUCUAACGGACUCGGAAGGUUGGUUUUUCCAAAAUUCUAAGAAAGAAUGCAUCCCCAAGACUGACACUUAACGUUAGAAGAGAGAUGAGUGACCAUCCCUGCAGAGUGGAG